UACGUAGGUGGCAAGCGUUGUCCGGAUUUACUGGGCGUAAAGAGCGCGCAGGCGGUCGUUCAAGUCGCGUGUGAAAGCCCCCGGCUCAACUGGGAGGGUCACGCGAUACUGAUCGACUCGAAGGCAGGAGAGGGAAGUGGAAUUCCCGGUGUAGUGGUGAAAUGCGUAGAUAUCGGGAGGAACACCAGUGGCGAAGGCGACUUCCUGGCCUGUUCUUGACGCUGAGGCGCGAAAGCUAGGGGAGCAAACGGGG
rnacentral:rRNA from 1 species